UUUAUAAUAAUAAACUGCAUUAUAUAGAAUUACAAGUAUAAAUUUUUCAGGUGAACAAGGUUAUGUUAAUUGGAGGGAAACAUGAAAAGAAUUUUAUUAGAAGAAGUUUGAGGGCUACAUUUUCUGAUGACUUAGCCUCCAUGUGUUCAUGAACUGGCCAAAAAAAUAAUUAUAAAAUUGGAGAUACGCACACACACAAUUCUGAGCAUUAAAAAAGUUUUUAGAGCAAUAUUCCCUCGGAAUACAGAAAAAGAUUUUCAACACUUUGUAAUGGAGUGGUUCAGAUUCGCAAACGUCCGUAAGGAAAAAAAAAACAUUAAAAAGGAAGUGAUAAAUAUAUUAUCUUACUUGCGUGGCUCCGCGCAAGUGAUUAUUAUAGUAACACAUUUUUUUAUUUGAAAGAUGAGUUUUAUCCCAAAACCUUACGCUAGGAUCAGUGAUCUUCACCAAAGAUAUUAUUGUGAUAAACUGAAAACUGUAAUAUAUGGUAUAUAUUAUUUUUAUAUAAAUAAAACUUUUUUAUG